AGCUUUGCGCAGUGGCAGUAUCAUAGACAAUGAGGUUUAUCCGAGGUGCGAUUAUUGCUAAUUCAAAACUUUUCCUGAUACCCCGCUGUGACGAUUUGCAAUACAGUCGGCACAGGCAAUUUUUGACAGUCUCUACGGAGA
ensembl:snRNA U4 U4 spliceosomal RNA